GGGGCCUUUCGGUUCCCUCCUGCCACAGGGGCCAGGCUGUGCCUGGCUGCUGGGCUCCUCACACCAAGCCUAGGCACUGCGUGCAGCCCCAGCAGGGUAUGGGAUGCCAGGCAGGGAGCCGCCAUGCACAGCCAGGGGGAAGCGGCAGAGACCGGGGAAGAGUCUGAUGGUACUGCCUCUGAUGUACAACUCUACAGGCUGGUGCUCUCCACUGAAAAGCAGUGGCAGUUUCAGCUUCUCAUCCUUUGAUUGUAAUUCUAUGGAGCAAGCUGUGACUGACAGAUAUGGCUAUUCCUUAGAUCACACCAGUGUCCUCCUCUACUAUGGCAGUCACACUGCACCUUUCCAGCUUUUGCUACUCUGCAUAGAAUGUAAGCCAGCAGGCAAUAUCUUGAGUUCCUCUCACUCAAGAGGGAAUAUUGCUACAUUUACUUGUCAGCAUUCUGUUCUAGGUAUCUUUAUUUUUUUGUCCCUCAACAGGAGAAAUGAUGUUGAAGGACUGUACGCACCCUGCUUAGAAGUCCAGGAGCUGGAGAAGUGUUCUACCAGGAACUUUACCUUGCAUGGUGGCACUGUGCGGGCCUUAGCGAAGCUAAGCCUUGGGGCCUUGAUGCGAACCCCAGCACAGAGGGCUCCCAGACUGAGCACUGACUCUCAGCCAAGAAGUAAAACCUUUGUGUUCAUUCAGUCUCUCUGUAAUUCACCACUGUUCACACUCAUUGCUUGAAGUUAUCAGGACUCCUGUAUCACUUUGUGUCUGCCCGUUCCUGACUCUGCGUGACGUUCACUCAUCUCUGGGGCAAGAGGAGAAAUUGCACAGUCCAACAGAUAACACUGCCAAAAUCCUGCGACGAGCCCAUUGCUAUGAACAAGUUAAUAAGGUAAUUCUAGAAGUCUGAGUUUGUUUCCGUAGCUACAUAACAUUACACAAACAUUUUGGUUGCAAUUUUGUGGCAAUGGUUUCUGUUAUUUGAUUAAAAUACAGUGCCCUGCGCCUUGGAGCCUCAGCCUGUCUGAUAUCAGAGAAAGCCCUCUAGAAGUGCUACAAUUUAAAAUUACAUCUUACCCUGUUUGAAGGGAUAUUUUUAGUCUAUUUAUUCGGGGUAUAAAUAUAGUUCUGUACAUCACUGGUUAAUGUCUCUCUCUUGAGCUGGUCAGAAAGACAGUGCCCAGCACCAAAAGCCAACAAAUGGGUAUCUUUUUUUUUCUUCUUCCCUCUUUUUUAUUUUUUUAUUUUUAUUUUUUUUAAGGCAGCAUUAAGUGCUUUGCAAAACAAAGUCCCUUGUCAGCAAAGGCUGCACAUCUAACCCCUUUGCUGCAGUGACCUACUUAUAGGAAACACGCCUAUUGAGAAAGGCUUUUUCCAAGAUCUAGCAUUUCAAACAAAAUCAUAUCUAAAAUUAGGUGGAAAGCGUUUAAGGGAUCCCUGAGCAGAGAUAAUCAAAAGAAUAAAAGGCGAGAGAAAGGAAGUGGUGAUGAAUCA
rnacentral:lncRNA from 1 species